rnacentral:rRNA from 1 species
UACGGAGGGGCGAGCGUUGUCCGAAUUUAUUGGGCGUAAAGCGCGUGUAGGCGGAUGGACAAGCCUGAGGUGAAAGGUUGGGGCUCAACCCCAUACAGUGCCUUGGGGACUGUUCGUCUGGAGGCCGGCAGAGGAGAGUGGAAUUCCUGGUGUAGCGGUGGAAUGCGUAGAGAUCAGGAAGAACACCCAUGGCGAAGGCAGCUCUCUGGGCCGGUACUGACGCUGAGACGCGAAAGCGCGGGGAGCGAACGGG